rnacentral:misc_RNA from 1 species
GAUGAAGAACGUAGCGAAAUGCGAUAAGUAAUGUGAAUUGCAGAAUUCAGUGAAUCAUCGAAUCUUUGAACGCACAUUGCGCCCCUUGGUAUUCCAUGGGGCAUGCCUGUUCGAGCGUCAUUUGUACCUUCAAGCUCUGCUUGGUGUUGGGUGUUUGUCUCGCCUCUGCGUGUAGACUCGCCUCAAAACAAUUGGCAGCCGGCGUAUUGAUUUCGGAGCGCAGUACAUCUCGCGCUUUGCACUCAUAACGACGACGUCCAAAAGUACAUUUUUACACUCUUGACCUCGGAUCAGGUAGGGAUACCCGCUGAACUUAAGCAUAUCAAAAGCGGAGGA